rnacentral:rRNA from 1 species
UACAGAGGGUGCAAGCGUUAAUCGGAAUUACUGGGCGUAAAGCGUGCGUAGACGGUUAUUUAAGUCAGGUGUGAAAGCCCAGGGCUCAACCUUGGAAUUGCAUUUGAGACUGAAUAGCUAGGGUGCGGAAGAGGGAAGCGGAAUUCCGGUGUAGCGGUGAAAUGCGUAGAUAUCGGAAGGAACACCAGUGGCGAAAAGCGGCUUCCUGGUCCAGCACCGACGUCAGGCACGAAAGCGUGGGGAGCAAACAGG